rnacentral:rRNA from 1 species
CACCUACGGGGGGCAGCAGUAGGGAAUCUUCCACAAUGGACGAAAGUCUGAUGGAGCAACGCCGCGUGAGUGAAGAAGGGUUUCGGCUCGUAAAGCUCUGUUGGGAGUGAAGAAAGAUAGAGGGAGUAACUGGCCUUUAUUUGACGGGAAUUACUUAGAAAGUUACGGCUAACUACGGGCCAGCAGCCGCGGUAAUACGUAGGUGGCAAGCGUUGUCCGGAUUUAUUGGGGGGAAAGCGGG